GGAUGCGAUCAUACCAGCACUAAAGCACCGGAUCCCAUCAAAACUCCGAAGUUAAGCGUGCUUGGGCGAGAGUAGUACUAGGUUGGGUGACCUCCUGGGAAGUCCUCGUGUUGCAUUCC
rnacentral:rRNA from 1 species